CUCCUGAUAUCAUUUUAAGGAAUAACAGUCAUUUAAAAAAUUCCAACUAAGCUGAGGACAGCCCGACAUCUAGUGGACAAAGAAAUUACUGCUUCUAGAAUGCAAUAAUGAAAACACAAUAAUUGUAUUUUUGCAUGGUUUAUACCUUUGCCGCUUCCACUCCACUCCAAAACACAGCACUAAAACACCCAAGGCCCAGUGACCUCUUCUGUGCAGCUGAGUCAAGGUAAAUAUCCAUUCAUAUACUUCUUGACCUGAGUGUCCCCUUUGACACCAUCUUUAAUGCACUGCUCAUGAGGUGUUUAGCUGGCUCUUGUGUCAUGGGUGUUCCUACCUCACGGCUUGGGCAACAAAAAAAAGAAUCACAGUUCAGGAUAUGGGGUUGUUUCACAGGGUUUCCCCAGUCCUGGCUCUUCCCUUCAUCAUAUACUACCUACCCAUGGCCCAGCUUCCCAUAUGUAAUCUUAGGAAACAUUUACAGAUAAAAACAUAGAAAUUAGCCAAAUGGAUACAAAGUGUGUUCUGUUGCUCUGUGUUCGUAUGUGUGUUUGUGUCUUGUUUCUCAGUGUGGUGGUUGCAGGCUUCCUGAUCGCUGGUUGCAGUUGAUUGAUUUGAUUUGGGGCUGGAGAGCUGACUUCCACCAGCUCGUCAGUCGUUGCAGCUGUUUCAGCCUGCAUAUGAGCCACAGAGUUCUGGUAUCUCUCUGACUCACUCCUGCUGCAGCUUUUUCUAUGCAGUUUGUGGUACUGUCUGUGAGUCAGAAGAACAUGUGUGGUAUAGUGCUGUUGUGACUAUUGUUUGUGUUAAAACCUUUUUCAUUUGUUUCAAGGGGAAAGCCAUUGUGCUUUAGGCAAGAGGCCCUGGGGCAUACACCUCCCAUAGCUUUACUGUCUAAAAACACUAGGUAAGACCUGGGCGGACCACCCCCUGUACUUUGGUUAGACUCAGUCAUUUAUACAAUUUAUUUUAAAGAAAAAACUAUUCAAAAACAAUUUAUAAUUUCUAUUUUCUUCCAUGUUUUGUUACAUUUACUGAAAUGUAAGACUAUGCAACUAACAACAGAUUUAUAUCAGACAGAAUAACAGUGUUGAACUACACUAAACAUGCAUUCAAUAAGCAUGUGGGGGAGUUGUUUUUAUGUAACAUCCAACAGAAAUAUUCAGACUACAAGCAUACACAAUUCUAAAUGUUUUGGAACUACAAAUGUUUCCAGACCUCCAUGGGGGCAUGAUGAAAUGUUUAGAUAUGUCCUUGUGAAACAAAAACAGGAGGGGGGGGGGGGGGCGGGACGGGGGGGGACCAUCUUGUUGUCCUUGUGAGAAUAAAACCAAACAGGAAAGAAUGGUGGUUGGAAACAACAACACAAUAUUCCUAACACUAAAUAUUUACAACAUUGCCUUCAAGCUCCCAUUUCCCCUUUCUGUUUCCUGUGAAUCCAACAGGCAGGAUUCAGAAAAGCAAAAGGAAAACCGGUUCCAAUAUUCUUUGGUCAGCAUCUGAAUUGUUUGUUUUCACUAUCACAGUUUGCCAAUGGGGCACAAAUUCAAUGGCAACAUAUUUUCUCAAAGACAUUUUCAACAUACUCGGUACAAAAACCUCUGCGGUGACCCAUUAACAAUGGAGUUGAAACAUUCUUGAUUUAUUUUCUUCCCUUAGCAAUAUUAAAAAGAAAGGUGAAUGGUAAACAGCACCUCGGAUCAGAAGUGACAGUGGUAGGAGAGAGCAACAUAAAACACAUUACAUUACCAGAAACCCCUUUACAUUUUAGAGAGGAUUUUUUCCUGAAAAAGGAUUAGACGGGCUUAGUUUUGCAUAUUACUUAACUUCUGGGGUUCAAGAAAAGGAAACUAGGUAAAACAACCUUUAGAAGUUAACCCUGGCUUAUAAAGUACUCACCAGUUCUCUGUUCUUGUUCUACAAUCUUUUUUUGUAGAUGAAGUGAUGUGAGAUUUGUAGAAAUGUCUAGCAUAAGUGGUUGUAAACCGUCUUUUCAUACAAAAUACAAUGAUGUAUCCUAAAUCUGUCACCGGAGUGAAAUGCAGGACAUUUUUCAGUUGCAAGUACCAAACAGAAAGACAUCACUUACGAUGCAUUUGUGUAGAAGCUGCUGCUUACAUAUACUGUAGAUUGUAUCCCCGUAAUCCAACACAGAAACAGAUUACCUGUCUUGCACUGUUUCAUCUACUAUGAAACACAUACCUGUACAUGAUCUAUUUAAUAAAAAUGAAAAAACAAAUCCAGUAUUUUUAAUGAUGUCGAUGAAAAUUCUGCUAACAGUAAUUUGGUAUAAUUUAAAAUACUAACAGUGAUAGCCAAAUAACAAGAUUUAAGUGGAAACUCGUUCAAUUUCUGAAUCGUGAUCAGUACAAUGGAACAAGAGGUCAAUGAGUUACACUAAAUGAGGUGAUUAUCACCUGAUACACAUUGAUCACCAUAUCAGGUGAUACUUACACAAUUCAUUCCAGUCAGUGGCAGUAAGGUUACGUAGCCCCUUGAGUCAGGCUUGAUAGCUCAAAAUCAAAAUUUGCUUUCAUGUCUUUAGAGUAUAACCUCAGAUAUAUAUACUACCAGCCAAAAGUUUUAGAACACAGGUGAAAGGAAUAUACUGAAACAAGAACAGGAAGGACCAAGGACAAGACAAGUCAAGGACAAACAGUUGGAGAGGGCUGGGGGAGGCGGAGCUGUCCUCGGCGGGCCCAGGCGGCGACCAGUCCCCGGCAGGUUCUGGCGGCGACGAAAACAGGGCAGCAGGGGGAGCUGACGGCAGCGACCACUGGGCAGCAGGAGGUGCUGGCGGCGGUGACCACUGCUGCCCAGGAGCCGCAGCUAGCGUCCCCUGCUGCCCAGGAGCCACAGCCAGUGCCCCCUGCUGCCCAGGAGCUGCAGCCAGCGCCCCCUGCUGCCCAGGAGCCGCAGCCAGUGCCCCCUACUGCACAGGCGCCGCAGCCAGUUCCCAGAGUUUAGUACAUACCUUUGUUUGAAUAAACUUCGUACUAAUGCAUCCUAAUCCUUGAGUCCAGUCGUCUAUUGUGACAUAUUUUUUAGGGAACAAGUAAUGGGUUAACUAGAAGUUGAUGCUAAGCAUUUCUACAGGUGACUCAACAUUUGCUGAUUAGUUAUAAACCCUCUCUCUGUUUAAAAGCUGUGUUGGAACAUACUGUGUUAUUGCACCAUCUUAAGCAAUAUUUGGACAGUAUUGUACUGCAGAAAGUAGCACACUGCAAUCAUAAUGGCAAAAAAAGGGCAAUCAACAAAGGAAGUGAGACAGACCAUGAUAACCCUCAAGUGUAGGUCUUUCCUUUAGAGAAAUUGCAAAGUAAACCAAGGUGUGAGUUAAUCAAGUUUCCUACAAAAUCAAAAGGUACUUGGAAACUGGAGGAAAGCUGGCAGAAUCAAGCCACAAAAGAAACAUCCAGCUUGAUAGGCGGUUCACAGGACUACAGCUUCAAGCACAGCUUAACACUUGUCAAAGUAAGCAAGUCUCAGUUUCAACUGUGAAGAGAAGACUUAGAGCAGCAGGUUUGACAGGUUGAGUGGCAGUAAGAAAGCCAUUGCUAAGAUAGUAAAAUAAGAAAAAUAGGAUUGUCUGGGCCAUGAAGCACAGCCAGUCGACUAUAAACCGACCGUUGGUUUAUCACACAAGAUUUUUGUUCACCGCAGAGUAGGCAAAAGGAUGGUCCCUCAGUGUGUUACACCAACUGCCAAACAUGGAGAAGGAAGCAUGAUGGUCUGAAGCUCUUUUGCUGGAUCCAGAGUUGGUGGCUUGCACAGAGCGAAUGUACCAUGAACCAAAUGGCUACCAUGCAAUACCCUUUGGUGCACACAUAGUUAGCAAGAUAAUGACCUCUAGGCUAUGUUAGAUGGUAGGCUUCAUAUCAUGGAAUUACAAGCCCAGUCGCCAGAUUUUUUAUCCACCGAGCUGGUUUGGGAUGAACUGGGCAGAAGGGUGAAAGCAAAGCAACCUAUAAAUGCAACAUAAUUGUGGGAUCUUGUCGGGACAUAUUGGAAUAGGGGAUUAAGCUACAGGUAUCACAUAGCAGCUUGUUUAGUAUACAAAGGAGUGAGCCUAAAAAUAUUUUGCAACUCAUUCCAGUUAUUGGCAGCAGCAAUCUGAUAUGAGUGUUUACUUAAGGAGGCAUAGACUUUAGGAGUGACCAGAGUGAGAUAUCUUCUGUAGUUUUGGCUAGUAUUGGAGAAAUGUUGAGACGUGAACAAAGGCAGAGGGCAUUUACCAGCAAGUGACCAAAUAAGAUGGUACCAAUGAGUUUGGUACCUCAAUCACACCAACAGCACCCGUUGCUGUUAUUUCCACCCAACUUUUUCUGUAUAUAACUUCCUGCAUUAAGUUGGAAAAACCCAACACAUGCACCACACAGAACACUCUGCAGAUGCCUCUGCAAUGCAUUGUUCCCAGGCAAAUGGAGCGUUCAUGUCACAGUGAUGUGUAUUGAAAGGAGCUGAAGUCACAAAGUGAAUGGAAUCUUGGUAUAAGACACCUAGCCUUUUAAUGGCAAGACUGUGUCGCUGUAGCUGAGGAUGUCAACAGUGAAGACACAAUUUUUCAGAAAAAGAAUAGACUGACAAGUUUCAGGAGAAAGUUCUUUGUUUCUGAACAUUUUGAGCCUAUAAUCAAACCCACAAACACUGUAGCUGAAGAUGCUGAACUAUGAUUAUUGCUUCUUUUUUGCUUCUUUAUUGCUUCUUUUAUUGUUUCUUUUUUUUGUGCAGUGCCAACAUAAUCGCAAAAGGGUUUUCUAAUGAUCAGUUAGCCUUUUAAAAUAAUAAACUUGGAUUAACAAAUACAAUGUGCCAUUUGAACACAGGACUGAUGGUUGCUUAUAAUGGACCUCUGUACACCUACGUAGAUAUUUCAUUAAGAAAUCAUCUGUUUCCAGCUACCAAGUCAUAGGUGAACUCUAUUAGCCAGUGAUUCCUUAGUUGCAACAUUUUUUAUCAAGAAUGUAUAAAGGGCUUAGAAAAAUACAUUUAAUUGAAAUUGGAGUGCAUGCAAUUAAUAGGUUUGGCCUUCAAUAGAUUACCUGAAAAACAUUCAUGAGGAAUGCAACGUACUAUGUGGCAUUUCAAACCGUACAGAUGCUACAGUUCCCUAUGAGGGGCGUGUAAGACAUUAUUUAUUCUGAUACUCUCACAUACAUACAUUCUCCUUUCACAUACAUAUAUUUUCACUCUCAUAUACAUACAUUCUUUUUUCACAUACAUAUAUUUUCACUCUCAUAUACAUACAUUCUCCUUUCACAUACAUAUAUUUUCACUCUCACAUACAUACAUUCUUUUUUCACAUACAUAUAUUUUCACUCUCAUAUACAUACAUUCUCCUUUCACAUACAUAUAUUUUCACUCUCACAUACAUACAUUCUUUUUUCACAUACAUAUAUUUUCACUCUCAUAUACAUACAUUCUCCUUUCACAUACAUAUAUUUUCACUCUCACAUACAUACAUUCUCCUUUCACAAACAUAUAUUUUCACUCUCACAUACAUACAUUCUCCUUUCACAUGCAUAUAUUUUCACUCUCACACAUACAUACAUUCUCCUUUCACAUACAUACAUUUUCACCCUCACAUAUGUACAUUCUCCUUUCACAUACAUAUAUUUUCACUC
ensembl:lncRNA